rnacentral:rRNA from 1 species
AUGCUUGAGCACUCUAAGGGGACGUGCCGGUGACAAACCGGAGGAAGGUGGGGAUGACGUCAAAUCCGCAUGGCCCUUAUGUCCUGGGCGACACACGUGCUACAAUGGCCAGUACAGAGGGUUGCGAACCCGCGAGGGGGAGGCCAAUCCCAAAAAGCUGGCCCCAGUUGGGAUUGCAGGCUGCAACUCGCCUGCAUGAACGCGGAAUCGCUAGUAAUCGCGUAUCAGCUACGGCGCGGUGAAUGCGUUCCCGGGCCUU